rnacentral:rRNA from 1 species
UACGUAGGGGGCAAGCGUUGUCCGGAUUUAUUGGGCGUAAAGAGCGUGUAGGCGGCUUUACAGGUCCGUUGUGAAAACUCGAGGCUCAACCUCGAGACGCCGGUGGAAACCGUAAAGCUAGAGUCCGGAAGAGGAGAGUGGAAUUCCUGGUGUAGCGGUGAAAUGCGCAGAUAUCAGGAAGAACACCAAUUGCGAAGGCAGCUCGCUGGGACGUAACUGACGCUGAGACGCGAAAGCGUGGGGAGCAAACAGG